rnacentral:rRNA from 1 species
CGGGUGAGUAACGCGUGGGUAACCUGCCUUGUACAGGGGGAUAACAGUUGGAAACGGCUGCUAAUACCGCAUAAGCGCACAGCAUCGCAUGAUGCAGUGUGAAAAACUCCGGUGGUAUAAGAUGGACCCGCGUUGGAUUAGCUAGUUGGUGAGGUAACGGCCCACCAAGGCGACGAUCCAUAGCCGACCUGAGAGGGUGACCGGCCACAUUGGGACUGAGACACGGCCCAA